CCCUUAGAUGUUCUGGGCCGCACGCGCGCUACACUGAUGCAUUCAACGAGCCUAUCCUUGACCGACAGGUCCGGGUAAUCUUUGAAUCUGCAUCGUGACGGGGAUAGAUUAUUGCAAUUAUUAAUCUUCAACGAGGAAUGCCUAGUAGGCGCAAGUCAUCAGCUUGCGUCGAUUACGUCCCUGCCCUUUGUACACACCGCCCGUCGCUCCUACUGAUUGAGUGUCUCGGUGAAUUCUUUGAUCUUCUGUCGAUUCAGUUCACUGAUCCGACGGUGGAAAGUUGAAUGAACUUCGUCACUUAGAGGAAGGAGAAGUCGUAACA
rnacentral:rRNA from 1 species